CCAAUUUAGUGCAAAAUACGCCGCUUGCAAAAAAUGACAUUAACCGACGUUUUAAUACGCGUCGGUUAUUUUUUUGC
rfam:Escherichia coli ISC11, WGS project CBWP01000000 data, contig: c30